rnacentral:rRNA from 1 species
GAUGAACGCUGGCGGCGUGCCUAAUACAUGCAAGUCGAGCGAACGGACGAGAAGCUUGCUUCUCUGAUGUUAGCGGCGGACGGGUGAGUAACACGUGGAUAACCUACCUAUAAGACUGGGAUAACUUCGGGAAACCGGAGCUAAUACCGGAUAAUAUUUUGAACCGCAUGAUUCAAAAGUGAAAGACGGUCUUGCUGUCACUUAUAGAUGGAUCCGCGCUGCAUUAGCUAGUUGGUAAGGUAACGGCUUACCAAGGCAACGAUGCAUAGCCGACCUGAGAGGGUGAUCGCCCACACGGGAACUGAGACACGGUCCAGACUCCUACGGGAGGCAGCAGUAGGGAAUCUUCCGCAGUAGGCGAAAGCCUGACGGGGCAACGCCGCGUGAGUGAUGAAGGUCUUCGGAUCGUAAAACUCUGUUAUGAGGGAAGAACAGAUGUGUAAGUAACUGUGCACAGCUUGACGGUACCUAAUCAGAAAGCCACGGCUAACUACGUG